AAGAUCGCUCCGACAAACGAACCUCCAACGGAUCGGCGAUUCACUUAGAAAUCUAACGGUCCAUCUCGCUUUCUUUCUCUCUCUCUCGCUCGUUUCUCUCCCAUUCUCUCUGCUCAGAGCUUUUUCCCUCUCUCUCUCUCUAUCUUUCAUCAACAAUAUCGCAGAAAUCGAGAAAUCCGAAUGAAAGAGACCUGAUACGACAAAGAAUUCAUUUAAUUUAGGGUUUCCAAAUCUCUCUUAUUCUCUUCCCCUCCAAAUUCUGUUUCCCUCCAAGAAAGCUUUCCCCUAUUUGUUGUUCCCCUCUGUUCUUAAUUUUUUUUUUUUUUUUCGGGGUAUAAGCUUGAUUUUUUUAUUUGAAGAAGUGGGGGAAGGUUUUCUUAAUCUGAGUUUCUUCAGAUUUUGUUUGGGGGAAUUGGAAUUUUCGCGGGAAAAUACCAAUAGUUUGUGAUUCUCAAUUCUUUCCACGCCUUCUCGGGUCGUUUAAGCUCCUUCAAGGUAGUUCUGUUCUCUGUGUUUCUGAUCUCGGAGGAAGAAGACCUGAUUUUAGGAGGGGAGAGAAUUAAAUACAGAAAUCCAUAAUUCAAGAGAGUGGAUUUGUGAAUUUCAUUACCGGGUCCUGUUAUCUUGUUUGGAUUUAUCCUUAGUUGUAGAAUCACAUUGUGUUGCAUUUCAUAUACAAUUUGAUUAGAGUUUGAAUGCACAUUGGUUUAUGGAUUUCAAGGCACCUCCAUCUUCAUUGGAAAUUGUAAAAAGCAGUAAUUUCCCCUGCAGUUGUUCAUUGUCCACUGGGCCAUCCACUACUUGGAUUCGAUCUGUUAAAAGGAAGUAUGAAGAAUCGGAUUCUUUUAGCCCACUUGCUAUUGUUGGGUUGGAUAAUUUUUCUGUCAUACGGGUACAUAUUGAGAAUGAAUGUAACGCUUUGCGGGAGAUGGCUAAUAAUCAGAAACAAACAAUUCAGGAUUUGUAUAUUGAACUCGAAGAGGAGAGGAAUGCUUCUUCCUCAGCUGCUAAUGAGGCAAUGUCAAUGAUAUUGAGAUUGCAAAGGGAGAAGGCAGAGAUCCAGAUGGAGGCUCGACAAUUCAAACGCUUCGCCGAAGAGAAGAUGGCACAUGAUCUACAGGAGCUUGCAGCAGUUGAGGACUUGUUAUAUAAAAGAGAGCAAGUUAUUCAAUCCCUCACUUGUGAGGUACAAGCAUAUAAACAUAGAAUGAUGAGCUAUGGGCUAACGGAAGCCGAGGCUGAUGGCGAGAGGGUUCAGCAGAAUAGUAGCCAGAAUACCGUGGAAUACGAGGCACAAUGCGAAUCUCCGAUGUAUGAUUACCCUCCCUUACGAUGCAGCUUAAACGAGGCUCAAGGUCCUUUUGAUCAUGAUAAUGAUAUUGCUGAUAUUGAGAAAUAUGCGUUUGGUGAGACCCCGCGUACUCGAGAUCACGUCAUGGAUUUGGAAAAUAGGAUCAGCCAAUUGGAGAGAAGUUCUAGCUACAAUCACCUAGAUCCUGACUUCUCUUGUACUAAUAACGUUUUGGAGAAGGUAAUAGUGGGACAAUCUCCAAGGAGGCCAAGACAUUUGAAGAAGUUUUCCACUGAUUCUAGUUUCUCCAUGGGUAUGCCCCAAGUGAAUGAUUCUCCAAGAUAUACAUCAUCAAGCUUCAAGAAGGAAUAUGUCUCACAGAGUGAGGACUUCUCCAAUUUGAGAAAAAUGGAUAAUGCAUCAGAACUUGGAGAUGACAUGAGUGAUAGAGUUUAUACCAUUGACUCUAUUCACAAUGGAGCUACAUACAAUGGUUUUCACGAGCCCAAACCGUCGGUUGGCAUUUACGAUGACUAUAUAACCACGCCGAGAGGGUCGCUAAAUCAGGUAGAUUUUGGGGACCCUGAAAUCAGAAAACUUUAUUUGAGGCUUCAGGUUCUUGAAGCAGACAGAGAAUCAAUGAAACAAGCAAUUAUUUCAAUGCGAACUGAUAAGGCCCAAAUGGUGUUACUGAAAGAAAUAGCUCAACAUCUAUUCAAGGAGAUGUCACCAGAUAAGCAAGUAGUUGUGAAGAAGCCAUCCGUUGUGUCGAGCUUUUCUUUCAUGGCGGUUUGUAAGUGUAUCGUAUCCUUCGUUUUAUGGAAAAGAAAAGCUCGUCGAAGCAAGUACUUGUUUGGGUUGUCAAACAGUGCUGGCUUGCUAAUGCUUCUCGAACAGGGUCCGGACACGAGACAGUGGAGAUGUCUUGCAAGCACACAAGUUUAGUACCGCUCACCUGAUGUUCAUAUCCAAUCAAACCCGACGUCCCGAAUAUGUGUAUUGAAGAAUGAUUUAUAGCCAGUCGAAUGCACAAUGGCUGCCUUUGCUUUAACAUCAAAUCUCUCAAGUCUUUUCUCCUUUCCUGUGGCCUCUAAUCGUUGUUCUUUCAUGGUGUUGUGAUAGUAUAUGCACCAUCUCUAUCAAUUUAAAAUCUUUUAUUUGAGAGGAGAGGGUUUGCAGAAUUGUGAGUGGUGCUUGUAUUCAGACCUCUGACCAUAUUUCAAAACCGUUUAAUAUAUACUUUUGGGUCAUUGA